GCCUUGAAUCCCAGGAGUUAACGGUAGCAUGUGUCCAUUUGGAAGGAGUAACACCGAAGUUGAGGAAGGAAGAAAGAAAGCCUCAUGAGAAAAGACUUCAGGAAGACAGCCUGAGAUCACAACUGGAUGCCACAUCAUGUUGCAGAGCACAGCUGCCAUUGCACUGCUGCUUUGCGUGCAGUCUCUGCAUGGCUCCGCUCUCCCUGCCGUGUCGUCCUAUGAGUUCACUGCCUAUAGGAUGCAACAGUACAACCUGGGACAGCAUAAGUAUGGCUGUCGUGGAGCCAUUGUUGUUGCGGAGGCACGCUCAGCAGAAGAGCCGUCGUUAACCCGCCGCUGUGUGAUAAUGAAGGUGGAAGACUUCACUACAGAAAAAUACUCCGAGGCCCAACGACAAAAUGCAGCUGCCAUCCUGAUCCUGCUGCCCCAAAAUAUCUCCAGUAUCCCUCACAAUGCAGUAGAGUCAUUUAUGGUGAGUGAAAGCGAGACCUUGCUUAAGGAGACCCUCAUGCCAGUGUAUGUGGCACCUGAGGAUGAACAGCUGCUCUGCAUGUAUGAGGAGGUGAAACAGGCUGCAGCCACCCGGACAUCAUCCAUUUUUGUCAGAGUCCUCCGCAGUAUGGUCACGGCUACAGCUUUUCAGAUUUUAGUGAUCAACAAUGCCCCAAUUAAGGCCACCACUGACAAUGCUAUAAUCACACUGGAGGGAGUUCUUCUAGGAGCAGUAGAGGAUGCACCCACUAUAGUCAUCGCAGCCCACUAUGACUCUUAUGGGCUUGCCCCUUGGUUGUCUUAUGGAGCAGACUCAAAUGCCGGUGGUGUCACAAUCCUAAUUGAGUUGGCCCGUCUCUUCCAAAAACUCUACAGUAGUCCCAGAACCAGACCACAAUUUAAUUUAAUGUUCUCCUUGACCGGAGGAGGAAAAUACAAUUUCCUUGGAACAAAGAGGUGGAUUGAAGAGAAUUUGGACCACGCUGAGUCCAGCCUUCUCCAUGACAAUGUGGCAUUUGUCCUGUGCUUGGAUACACUGGCCAACGGCGAUGAGCUGUACAUGCACGUCUCCCGCCCUCCUAAACCCGACACGCCAAUGCAGUCUUUCAUCCAACAACUGGAGGAGGUGGUUUCCUCCAGAUUUCCCUGGGUGAAGGUGGGGUUGGUUCAUAAAAAGAUCAAUCUUGUGGAGUCUACUGUAGCCUGGGAGCAUGAGCGCUACAGCCUACGCAGGAUCCUGGGCUUCACUCUGUCUCAUCUGGAAGAUCCUAAAUCUGAACUUCGUGGCUCUAUGCUAGACACCAUGUCAAAAGUGGAUUUCCGGAAACUUAAGCGAAAUGGCAUCAUCAUAGCAGAAGCGCUGGCCCGCUACAUGUACAAUCUCUCUGACAAGGGUUCACCAAAGGAUGUGCAAGUUUUCAAGGGCCAGCUGGACAUUCAGGACAGUCGUAUCUCCAGUUUGAUGUCCUUCCUGACAUCAGUCCCUCGGGCUACUCAGCUGCUGGAUAAGGAACCCAGUCAUAUCUUGCUGGUCAACUCACUGGAGCACGAAUUCAAGCGCUAUCUGCAGCAAGUCCACAGACACACCUUCCGACAGGACAAGAGGGAUCCUGAUAUUACCUUCUUUGAUCAAAUGAGCCAACCAAUAGUCAUGUACAGAGUGAAGCCUGCAGCCUUUGAUCUGUUCCUGGGAGGCUGCAUUGCUGCUUACCUGGGUAUUGUUUACUACGCAAUCCAGAAUUUCGGUUUUCUCUACACAAAACUAAAAGCAGCAGUUAAAACUAAGCACCACUGAAUCCACUACGACUACGACCACCGACUCCAUGACAAGCGCUUUGAAGUCAGCUCUGCACAUGUUGGACAUUUGCCGGGUGUGCAGCAGGAAGCCUCUUUGCAUGAUCACAUGCAUCUCAUAUAAAGUGGGAAUUUACUUUGAAAUGCUCCGAGUGUGCCGUUUGAAACAAAAUGAAACGAAAUAAAGAAGUUGUUUCAAGCUGUAUGAAAACUGUAUCAAAGCUGGGAACGCACAGCCCUGGAUCUGAUUUGAGCUCCUGUGAAGGACACUCCUGCCAGAUCAUUACUAUGAUUCCCCAUAUCCUCUGCUCUGCAUCUGUUCGCGUGGAUUUGACUGGGCUUAACAUGGCUGUCAAGCGAGGCCCCAACCGCUUCACUAGAUGAACAGCCAGUUCCUGUCACAGAUAAGUCAGUGAGAGCGCUGGAGACACAAAGGCACCCUACAGCGCUUGGUAAAUUAUUAAUGCUUAUGUGGCAAGCUGACAGUGAACAGAGGUGACACUGGGUGGUGGUGGUUGUGGUGGUGGUGAAGAUUUUUAGAAGCCCCAUUUCUCUGCUGUUUCACUCCUUUUCUGCUGAUCUGAUAGCGCUGAGUUUAUUUUAACUACGAGGCAGCCGAACGGCCAGAAGUGUUGGAGAUUGGUGUUGGCUUAUUUGUAAAGGCCCCUGGGAGGGAAAUAGGUCAUGGGCUGUGACCCCAGGUAUGUGUGUCUCUGCAGGGGGCUUGCAGCUAAGGAGGAUUAGUGGCCGAGUGCUCAGGUAGCACAAAGAGUUUUUCUGCUUCAGCAAGGAUGCCCUUAAUCUGCUUUCCUUCCAACAGAGUACAUUAAUCAGAAUAGCUCCAGGUUAAACAAAAAGUUUUAUCAGUUUGGAGGUUGACAGGGUUUCAUGCAGAAUUUAUAACUACUGAUGCAAGAGAAAUGUCAUGUUGUUAUAUAAAUAUAGAAUAAAUAAUAUAUAAAUAUGACAGUGAAAUAGGUGGUAUUCACACUCCAGGAAUAAUAAACCCCCAUAAAUAUUAGACAAUAUUUCCAAACAAACAAACACACAGACAAAGGUAAUACAAAGAGGAGGUACACUGUUUUCGGGGAAGGGGUGGAGUUAGCAGGUGUCAGGGGGAGGUGAGUGAUGCUGCAUGCUCCAUUCAGGCAGGCUGAUCUGGAUGUAAGCCGUGGAAAAGUAAGUAAGGCAGUCAGUGAAGAUGGUUCCCCAACUAUACAUCACAGUGUACAAUGAACAGUUCAGAUCUCCAGGCACAGUGAAAAGAGCUCAACUUCGACCGACCUCUGCCCACCGUAGGAACAACCCUCAGCCCCGGGCGGUAAGACACACAGCUUUCAAUACUGCCUACGUGAUCUGUGUGAAUGAAAGGCCGGAGUGACUGUUGGAAAUUUUGGAAUUUCUUUAUUCUUUUUUUCAAAUUUGUCUCCAAAAUUAGAAGUUAUACUAUAUCACCCUGGGUGAUUCAGAAAAUAUGAAAAAUAUAGCUCAUUUCAGGCAGACAGGAUUAUCUGAGGCAAUUAUACCUACUGCUCUAUGCAUUGUAUUUUGUUUGGCUAUAUUAAAAAAAAGUGUCCUACUAAUUGACUGGUUGGGCACAUUUUUCUGUGAAUCAUAACAGCUGUAUCCUACUAUUAUGCAGGAAUUUCUCCGUGCUUAUUUAUUCAUGCAAGGAUGAAUAGAGUUAAGAAAAUUUACAUGUAUGUGUCCCAUUUGUUCUUUGCCUCCCAAGGACUUUCUGUUUCCCAGGAGCCUUCAGUCAAACAAUAGGUCAACCCAUGCACUUCUUCAUCCCUUGCCCCCUGUGGACUUCGGCCGCCCUCUUUUCCCCCCUGUCAGACAUUUUUCAUUUCACGGUCCUGUUGCAACUUGUUCUGACAGCUAUCUAAAUACAACCGACAAAACACAACACAUGCCCCCUGUCAACCCAUCAACAGUACAAGCCAUGCCCUCUGCUGAUAAACUGCAGAAACUACAACUGACCGAGCCUUCCCCGAGCACUGACAUCCACCUCAGCACUGCUUUGAAGAGCCCACAAAGCAGACUUGGUUAUCAAAAGCAUGUCCAUCCACAUUCAACACAGCAGCUCAGGCAAAAUACAGCUGCUCCGCUUGAAACAAGAGCCCAAACUCCUGCAGCUCCUUGCAGCUUUGUACAGACAAAAUACCAGAGGUGCUGUUCUAACAGCAGCCGGGAUAACAGCAGUGGUUGCUACAGCUGCUUCCAUGUAGUGAAGCCCUACCAAGCUGGACACUACAUCAUACACCCAGAGUUUGUGUCUGAAAGCCUUUAUUAGGAUUAUUAGAGCUCUGGUUUCCAAGAUGGUGACCCGAAGAGGUCCACGGAGAGCCUGAGGCUACUCUCCAGCAAUUGUUAACUUUUCCUUAAUUCUCUGUUAAUUAACCCAGUGAGACAAGGUGUAAGAGUGAAUCAUGUAGAGUGUACAAGCACAGCUGUUAUCUCAUUGUGUAAUGCAAGGAAACUUUUGCAGUUAAGUGCUCAAUCGGUACCAAAGAUCUUCUCAUGGGAUGAUUUUGAAGAUCAAAUGAGGCUCUGAGGCCCUAAGGUGCUGUACGUGAGUUUUUGUAAUUUUAAUCUUCUGAGGAAAACGUGUGUCAAUUAAAAGGGAAUCAGUACAAUGAUACAGUAUGAUGCCGUCUUCAACUACCAGAGCAAAUGCAGUGAAAGAGUGUCACUAUCGAUGCAAAUAAAGGAAGCAUUACCCUCACUUUGCUAAGGAUC